GAUGAAGAACGUAUCGAAAUGCGAUACGUAAUGUGAAUUGCAGAAUUCAGUGAAUCAUCGAGUCUUUGAACGCACAUUGCGCCCCCUGGUAUUCCGGGGGGCAUGCCUGUCCGAGCGUCAUUGCUGCCCUCAAGCACGGCUUGUGUGUUGGGCCUCCGUCCUCCUCCCGGGGGACGGGCCCGAAAGGCAGCGGCGGCACCGCGUCCGGUCCUCGAGCGUAUGGGGCUUCGUCACCCGCUCUUGUAGGCCCGGCCGGCGCUUGCCGACACAUCAAUCUUUUUUCCAGGUUGACCUCGGAUCAGGGAGGGAUACCCGCUGAACUUAAGCAUAUCAAUAAGCGGAGGA
rnacentral:misc_RNA from 1 species